UAGGGAAUCUUCGGCAAUGGGGGGAACCCUGACCGAGCAACGCCGCGUGAGUGAAGAAGGUUUUCGGAUCGUAAAGCUCUGUUGUUAAGGAAGAACGAGUGUGAGAAUGGAAAGUUCAUGCUGUGACGGUACUUAACCAGAAAGGGACGGCUAACUACGUGCCAGCAGCCGCGGUAAUACGUAGGUCCCGAGCGUUGUCCGGAUUUAUUGGGCGUAAAGCGAGCGCAGGCGGUUAGAAAAGUCUGAAGUGAAAGGCAGUGGCUCAACCAUUGUAGGCUUUGGAAACUGUUUAACUUGAGUGCAGAAGGGGAGAGAGGAAUUCCAUGUGUAGCGGUGAAAUGCGUAGAUAUAUGGAGGAACACCGGUGGCGAAAGCGGCUCUCUGGUCUGUAACUGACGCUGAGGCUCGAAAGCGUGGGGAGCGAACAGG
rnacentral:rRNA from 1 species